GAGAGUUGCCAACCUAACAUCCCCCCUUUUAAAUACAAAACUAAACUAAAUAUAAAACUAACUACAUGAGGUAUAAAAAUAUAAAUAUUUCAAUAACAAUAAUAAUCUUGGUAUCUUUUGGGUCUUCUGAUUGGUCUUUUCUUUGGUUCCUCUGAUUCGUCUGGUUGUUCUGGGUCAUGUUCGGGUUCAUUAUUUCUGUCUGGUAAGGGCUGAAGAUGUCUUCGAUUUCGUCUGACGCAACCGCCGUCAGUCUCGAUCAAAUAUGACCUUGGUUCUUCACAUCUGCGUUGUACUUCUCCCUCCUUUUGCAUAUUUAUGAUCCAUACACGAUCACCUUCUUUUAGAUUUUUCUCUUCUUUUGUUACUCGGUGUCGUUUGUCAUAGUUGGAUUUCUGUUCUGCCUGAUUGUUGAUUAACGUUUGUCUGACAGUGUCAUGGUCGAUAGUUGCAGGUUUUAAACCUGAAGGUAACCUUGGCAGUCUGUCUCGAAGGUUUCUGCCAAAGAGCAGUUGGGCAGGUGACAAUCCACAUUUAGUAGGUGUAUUGCGGUAGCUUCACAGCACUUUCGGCUUGUCCAUUUGACUGUUGGUAAUGGGGACUACUGGUAAUUAAUUUAAAUCCAUAUUUUCUGCUGAAGGUUCUGUAUUCGUGACAAUCAAAUUGUUUGCCAUUGUCGGAGCGGACAACUUCGGGUAUACCAUGUCUAGCAAACAUUUCUUUGAAGGAUACUUGGAAUAAUAGUCCUGUACCACUAAGUAAGUUGACUCAUGAUAUUCUGCGAGGUCGGCACCAAUUGUUUGCCACGGUCUAGAUGGAACUUCGGAUGGUAACAUGGGAUCUACCGUUGGUCUGCGUAGUUUGAUGCAAAUUUCACAUUUCCCGACGACUUCUUUAAGCUCUCUUG